rnacentral:rRNA from 1 species
UCCAGACUCCUACGGGAGGCAGCAGUGGGGAAUAUUGCACAAUGGGGGGAACCCUGAUGCAGCGACGCCGCGUGGGUGAAGGAGUAUUUCGGUAUGUAAAGCUCUAUCAGCAGGGAAGAAAAUGACGGUACCUGAGUAAGAAGCCCCGGCUAACUACGUGCCAGCAGCCGCGGUAAUACGUAGGGGGCAAGCGUUAUCCGGAUUUACUGGGUGUAAAGGGAGCGUAGACGGUUCUGCAAGCCAGAUGUGAAAGCCCGGGGCUCAACCCCGGGACUGCAUUUGGAACUGUAAGGCUAGAGUGUCGGAGAGGCAGGCGGAAUUCCUAGUGUAGCGGUGAAAUGCGUAGAUAUUAGGAGGAACACCAGUGGCGAAGGCGGCUUACUGGACAGUAACUGACGUUGAGGCUCGAAAGCGUGGGGAGCAAACAGGAUUAGAUACCCGAGUA